rnacentral:rRNA from 1 species
CUAGCUAACUGAAAUCAUAGAAUUUCUUCAAAUUCAUGAUGUCGUAAGGGAAAAUAAUGAUAAUACCUUACUAUGAGUGUCGUCCAAAUCUGGUGCCAGAAGACUCGGUAAGACCAGAGACGCAAACGUUAAUCAUCAUAAACAGGCGUAAAGGGUUUGUAGGCAGCUCUCACAAAGACAUAUACAAAAUAAAGUGUUUUAAUUGAGAGCUAGAAUCAAAAAGAGGUUAUAGUGUAUAACGCCUAGAGGAGGGCUGAUAUCCAUAGAUCCUAGGCAGAAUACUCAGGGCGAAGGCCACUCUCCACUACUGAUUGACGCUGAGAAACGAAGGUUAGGGUAGGAAAUAGGAUUAGAUACCCAGGUACUCCUUUCUGUAAACGAUGAAUGGUAGUCAUUAGUAAUAAAACUAGAGGCGAAGUUAACACAAUAACCAUUCCGCCUUGUGAGUACUACUGCAAAGUAGAAAACAAAAAAAUUAGUCGGUCUCGAAGAAACGGAGUG